CACGUAGGGUGCGAGCGUUGUCCGGAAUUAUUGGGCGUAAAGAGCUCGUAGGCGGUGUGUCGCGUCGGCCGUGAAAACUUGCAGCUCAACUGUGGGCGUGCGGUCGAUACGGGCAUCACUGGAGUUCGGCAGGGGAGACUUGGAAUUCCUGGUGUAGCGGUGAAAUGCGCAGAUAUCAGGAGGAACACCGGUGGCGAAGGCGGGUCUCUGG
rnacentral:rRNA from 1 species